CCUACGGGUGGCAGCAGUCGAGAAUUUUUCUCAAUGGGCGCAAGCCUGAAGGAGCGACGCCGCGUGGGGGAUGAAGGGUUUCGAUCCGUAAACCCCUGUCAUUUGUGAACAAGGUUCACUCAAUAACACUGGGUGAAUUGAUAGUAAUGAAAGAGGAAGGGACGGCUAACUCUGUGCCAGCAGCCGCGGUAAUACAGAGGUCCCGAGCGUUGUUCGGAUUCACUGGGCGUAAAGGGUGCGUAGGUGGCCAUGAAAGUCUGAUGUGAAAUCUCCGGGCUCAACCCGGAAAUGGCAUUGGAUACUAUGUGGCUGGAGGUUUGGAGGGGGGACUGGAAUUCUCGGUGUAGCAGUGAAAUGCGUAGAUAUCGAGAGGAACACCAGUGGCGAAGGCGAGUCCCUGGACAAGACCUGACACUGAGGCACGAAAGCCGGGGGAGCAA
rnacentral:rRNA from 1 species